GGUUAAGCGACUAAGCGUACACGGUGGAUGCCCUGGCAGUCAGAGGCGAUGAAGGACGUGCUAAUCUGCGAUAAGCGUCGGUAAGGUGAUAUGAACCGUUAUAACCGGCGAUUUCCGAAUGGGGAAACCCAGUGUGUUUCGACACACUAUCAUUAACUGAAUCCAUAGGUUAAUGAGGCGAACCGGGGGAACUGAAACAUCUAAGUACCCCGAGGAAAAGAAAUCAACCGAGAUUCCCCCAGUAGCGGCGAGCGAACGGGGAGGAGCCCAGAGCCUGAAUCAGUGUGUGUGUUAGUGGAAGCGUCUGGAAAGGCGCGCGAUACAGGGUGACAGCCCCGUACACAAAAAUGCACAUGCUGUGAGCUCGAUGAGUAGGGCGGGACACGUGGUAUCCUGUCUGAAUAUGGGGGGACCAUCCUCCAAGGCUAAAUACUCCUGACUGACCGAUAGUGAACCAGUACCGUGAGGGAAAGGCGAAAAGAACCCCGGCGAGGGGAGUGAAAAAGAACCUGAAACCGUGUACGUACAAGCAGUGGGAGCACGCUUAGGCGUGUGACUGCGUACCUUUUGUAUAAUGGGUCAGCGACUUAUAUUCUGUAGCAAGGUUAACCGAAUAGGGGAGCCGAAGGGAAACCGAGUCUUAACUGGGCGUUAAGUUGCAGGGUAUAGACCCGAAACCCGGUGAUCUAGCCAUGGGCAGGUUGAAGGUUGGGUAACACUAACUGGAGGACCGAACCGACUAAUGUUGAAAAAUUAGCGGAUGACUUGUGGCUGGGGGUGAAAGGCCAAUCAAACCGGGAGAUAGCUGGUUCUCCCCGAAAGCUAUUUAGGUAGCGCCUCGUGAAUUCAUCUCCGGGGGUAGAGCACUGUUUCGGCAAGGGGGUCAUCCCGACUUACCAACCCGAUGCAAACUGCGAAUACCGGAGAAUGUUAUCACGGGAGACACACGGCGGGUGCUAACGUCCGUCGUGAAGAGGGAAACAACCCAGACCGCCAGCUAAGGUCCCAAAGUCAUGGUUAAGUGGGAAACGAUGUGGGAAGGCCCAGACAGCCAGGAUGUUGGCUUAGAAGCAGCCAUCAUUUAAAGAAAGCGUAAUAGCUCACUGGUCGAGUCGGCCUGCGCGGAAGAUGUAACGGGGCUAAACCAUGCACCGAAGCUGCGGCAGCGACGCUUAUGCGUUGUUGGGUAGGGGAGCGUUCUGUAAGCCUGCGAAGGUGUGCUGUGAGGCAUGCUGGAGGUAUCAGAAGUGCGAAUGCUGACAUAAGUAACGAUAAAGCGGGUGAAAAGCCCGCUCGCCGGAAGACCAAGGGUUCCUGUCCAACGUUAAUCGGGGCAGGGUGAGUCGACCCCUAAGGCGAGGCCGAAAGGCGUAGUCGAUGGGAAACAGGUUAAUAUUCCUGUACUUGGUGUUACUGCGAAGGGGGGACGGAGAAGGCUAUGUUGGCCGGGCGACGGUUGUCCCGGUUUAAGCGUGUAGGCUGGUUUUCCAGGCAAAUCCGGAAAAUCAAGGCUGAGGCGUGAUGACGAGGCACUACGGUGCUGAAGCAACAAAUGCCCUGCUUCCAGGAAAAGCCUCUAAGCAUCAGGUAACAUCAAAUCGUACCCCAAACCGACACAGGUGGUCAGGUAGAGAAUACCAAGGCGCUUGAGAGAACUCGGGUGAAGGAACUAGGCAAAAUGGUGCCGUAACUUCGGGAGAAGGCACGCUGAUAUGUAGGUGAAGUCCCUCGCGGAUGGAGCUGAAAUCAGUCGAAGAUACCAGCUGGCUGCAACUGUUUAUUAAAAACACAGCACUGUGCAAACACGAAAGUGGACGUAUACGGUGUGACGCCUGCCCGGUGCCGGAAGGUUAAUUGAUGGGGUUAGCGCAAGCGAAGCUCUUGAUCGAAGCCCCGGUAAACGGCGGCCGUAACUAUAACGGUCCUAAGGUAGCGAAAUUCCUUGUCGGGUAAGUUCCGACCUGCACGAAUGGCGUAAUGAUGGCCAGGCUGUCUCCACCCGAGACUCAGUGAAAUUGAACUCGCUGUGAAGAUGCAGUGUACCCGCGGCAAGACGGAAAGACCCCGUGAACCUUUACUAUAGCUUGACACUGAACAUUGAGCCUUGAUGUGUAGGAUAGGUGGGAGGCUUUGAAGUGUGGACGCCAGUCUGCAUGGAGCCGACCUUGAAAUACCACCCUUUAAUGUUUGAUGUUCUAACGUGGACCCGUAAUCCGGGUUGCGGACAGUGUCUGGUGGGUAGUUUGACUGGGGCGGUCUCCUCCUAAAGAGUAACGGAGGAGCACGAAGGUUGGCUAAUCCUGGUCGGACAUCAGGAGGUUAGUGCAAUGGCAUAAGCCAGCUUGACUGCGAGCGUGACGGCGCGAGCAGGUGCGAAAGCAGGUCAUAGUGAUCCGGUGGUUCUGAAUGGAAGGGCCAUCGCUCAACGGAUAAAAGGUACUCCGGGGAUAACAGGCUGAUACCGCCCAAGAGUUCAUAUCGACGGCGGUGUUUGGCACCUCGAUGUCGGCUCAUCACAUCCUGGGGCUGAAGUAGGUCCCAAGGGUAUGGCUGUUCGCCAUUUAAAGUGGUACGCGAGCUGGGUUUAGAACGUCGUGAGACAGUUCGGUCCCUAUCUGCCGUGGGCGCUGGAGAACUGAGGGGGGCUGCUCCUAGUACGAGAGGACCGGAGUGGACGCAUCACUGGUGUUCGGGUUGUCAUGCCAAUGGCACUGCCCGGUAGCUAAAUGCGGAAGAGAUAAGUGCUGAAAGCAUCUAAGCACGAAACUUGCCCCGAGAUGAGUUCUCCCUGACUCCUUGAGAGUCCUGAAGGAACGUUGAAGACGACGACGUUGAUAGGCCGGGUGUGUAAGCGCAGCGAUGCGUUGAGCUAACCGGUACUAAUGAACCGUGAGGCUUAACCUU
rnacentral:rRNA from 1 species